GCGUAGGUUUGUAAAGAAAAAAACGACCACAGGAGGACCACGGGCUCGCCUCCUCCCCCUCUCACCCACGCCGCCGCCACCACCCACGCCGGCUGCUUCCGGCGACCUCCGACGCCGCGCAGUACGCCCCCGAGCUCCCCACGGUCCGCGCCUCCGUCCCCUCCGGCCAGAUUCUCCGCUCCGGUCCUCUACCGCCUGCUCGCAACCCCACCCCCGUGGCCAGGGUUUCGGGCAGGGCUUCGCCGGCGCGUCUCCGGCGGACCCAGGAAUUUUUGUGAGUGUCAAGGGGAUAUCUGCCUCGGAAAAUCAGGUUGCUGAAAUCACCAACGAAACUGAUGGUAGGAAAGUAGACCCAAGCAAGACCGAUAUAACCCCCGGAAUGCAGGGUGAGGAGGAACAUAACAAACUCUCCGGGAAGGAAACUGCUCUAUGAUACAGACAACAAAGAAGAAGAUGAAGAGGGUAACAGUAGAAGCCGGAACCUAACAAUCACCGCUGCGAAGUAUGAGGAGGUGUUUGAAGAAGCUCACCCCGCCAUUCCCACCAAGCAGGUUGAAAACAAAUGCCCCAAGCAAUACACCAACUGAUCGAGCUACACAAAUUUCCCCACACGUCACAAGAGGCUGUGUACCUCUUCGGUACAGGCUACUGGUACCAGCCAGAACACCUCGAGAUGGUUUGUGAUGAGUUUCUGCUCUAGGAAUGGCUGGGCGCUGCUGCUCGAGAGAUAGGCGUUGAUUGCUACAAUUUAGGGCUUGAUUGAGCUGCUGCUAGAAAGAGAGAGAGAGAACAGAGAGGGAGAGACAGGGUUCCAAUGCUUACUGAUCUAGUUUUGGUGAGCAAAAAAAUGAGAAAUAGGAGAGGAACAGAGAGAGCAGAGAGAUAGAGAGCGCAGAGAAAGAGGGACACAUCACUGAACCCUUUGGAUUCUAAUGCAAGGUUGAAUAAUUUUUGUGUGUUCUAACUCUCUGGGCCAAUAUGCAGUUUUUUGGCUUAUCAUUGUGCCUCAAGUUUCUGACAUCAUGUGGCUGUACACCGACGACUUUCGCCGAUAAUCCGUCUGGUCGUACUCGACUGUUCGCUGGAACUUUGUCUGACCUGAGGUACAUACUACGGUGUUAUCAAUUGCAUCUGUCAUCAAAGACUACUUAUUAACUUUGUAUGUUCUUUAGUAUAUGCUCUUUAAGCUCUGAACAAGUCAAUGCCUGAAAUACCACAUGUAGUCAUUACAAGAUGAUCUUCGGGAAAGACAAUAAUUACAAGUAGCGAUCAAAGGAGAUAAAGCUAGCUACAUUUUUAUCUAGGAAGAACAGCUGCUGUAUGACAGGAAAAAUUUAAUAAAAGAUAAACUAAUAUCAUGGUGAUGGCAUUAAUUGACUAUUUUGUAAGUAGCAAUCAAAGGUGAUAAAGGUAGCAAAUUUUUUAUCUAGGAAGAACAGCUGUUGUGACAGAAAUGAAAGCUAAAUAUACAAGUAUAUACUUGUUCGUGUCUAUCAAUUUAAUUUCAUGAGUAUUUCAAAUUCAUUCUUCUUACUUCUUCAGAUAAUACAGUAUAUGCUACUUUUGUUCAGGUAUAUACUUCUUUUUACCACUUUUACUUUUUCUCAGUGGAUUCAUGCAUGCUUCUCCUCAUAGGUUUCCCUUAGUUCAGUACUUAAUUUUUUUGGUGUAUACUUUCUCCUCAUCAGAGUAUACGUACAACAAGAUAGAAAGAAACCUAUACUGUUGAUCGAUACUGAAAUAUCAUAUGGAAGAUAGCCCUCUCUUCUAUACCCCAUUGCGAAAAGUAGUAUACUAUCAAUUGAAAACACACCAUAUACUCCUUUCGGACAAUGAGGAUACACUGAUCGUUAUUGCCAGUAUCAUAGGUAUAUACUCUGAGAAUAGUUGUAUAUAUCCCAUUUGAAAAAAUAAAUAUGUAUAUACUCCUUGAAACUACUCAUCAUUUAAACCUUUUUACAUAAGAUUGUCCGUCUAGAUACAAUAACUAAUUAGUAUUUUAAUAACUUAAAUUGCAUGGCUUGAUCGUCUGCUUGAGUCUUCUCUUAUGUAUGAGUGCACCGUGUGUGGGUUAGUUUUUUUGGGUCUUCUAAUUCUCUGCGGUAAUUUGCAUCUAUAUUUGUGCUAAUUGGCAAGGUGCAUGAAUAAUGAUUUAUCUAAGUUUUUUGCUUAAUGGAAAGGCCUUUUCAGUUAAAAAAACCCUACUGAUUUGAUCAACAGAACAUGCUUCUGUUUUUAAAUAGCUGAAUUUCUACUUAUUUAAUUGACUAUUGUGGUGUCAAGAUCCAAUAGCCUUGCUAUUAGUUAAUGCUCUAUUUAUAUUUUCUUCCAACAAAACAAAUGUAUGUUUACAGCAAAAAAACUCGUUCCAGCAAAAACAAUGGCUCGCUGUCGCCAGGUCGCGGCAAAAGUUUUGGCCGGUCCCAUAAGAAAAUUAGUUCCAACAAAAAAAGAUUGUUGUCGCGGUCACAGGUACUAUACUCUACGCCUCCUGAAGAUGUGCAUUAAUGGUUGGCUGUUAUAAUACAUAUAUGUAAGAUUUCAUGUUAUACCAGCUUAGCAGAACUUCACGGAAAUUUGCUAGAGGUGUUGCAACAGCCUUGAUCAAAUAUUAUUUUCAUUAUUCCUUCUUGGUAUGAGACAAUAACAGUAGAUAAUCUUCAUCGAAAUUUGCUAGAGAAGUUCCAACAGCUUUGAUCAAAUAUUAUUUUUAUUAUUCCUUCUUAGUUUUAGACAAUAAAGUAGAGAAUCUAAAUCCUUCUACUUUAUGUGUACUUGUAAUAGAGCGACGCUUGGUGCAGCUAGCUUCAACAAGGACCAACUUGACUUGAUGGGGAUACAAUCACCAAGAAAGAAUCAUACCUGAACUUACCUUUAUGCAUUACACGAACUACCAAUAUAUUGUAUCUUCCUGUAUGAUCCGUAACUCAUAGACACAUGAGUAGCGAUGGAUACUAUUUGGAUUGAGCGAUCUGGCAUGUAAGCUUAGCUCGGUGGUUCAGAUUAUCACUGUUAGUCUUCUGGUCGUGGCAAUUUUUUAGACCUCUUGAGGUAGCUCAACGAAUCUGGUGUGAAGCUAUGAAGGGAUUUUUCUUGAAAACAAUACUGAAAGGAUACCUUAACUUCAUUUUAUCCCCUAGAUUAGUAUACGUAUAUUAAGUCCCCAUUUAUUUUAGAUGUAUAGCUUGCAUGACAGUUUUGUUUAAACAGAUUUUUGGGGCAUUUUGCAAUUCUCACAUAUGUUGUUACCCAUGCACUUACUUUUAUCAUUUCCAGUGUCAAUGUUUACAAACUUGUUAAAUCUUUUUUUAUUGGAGUUCAGCCAUGUUUUCCACCAAGGAUUCAACUUGCAAGCAUCUGAAUCUUAUGUUGUCCGAUUCACUCUGCAUGUUAAUUCACAACUUGCAAGGGGCGAUGCUUUGCGAAAUGUCUGAACGAGAUAGAUAGAUAGAUAGAGAGUAUGUGAGUGAUGGAGCAUGAUGUGGUCUUGAGCCAUUAGACUAGGGGGAGCUAAUUUUUUUCUCCCGUUGCAACGCACGGGCGUAUUUUGCUAGUACUUAAGAAAGCCUUAACCUCUGCACC